rnacentral:rRNA from 1 species
UGCCAGCCGCCGCGGUAAUACGGGAGUGGCAAGCGUUACUCGGAAUCACUGGGCGUAAAGAGCGUGUAGGCGGGUUAAUAAGUCAGAUGUGAAAGCCAAUGGCUCAACCAUUGAACUGCAUUUGAAACUGUUAAUCUAGAAUAUGGGAGAGGUAGAUGGAAUUUCUGGUGUAGGGGUAAAAUCCGUAGAGAUCAGAAGGAAUACCGAUUGCGAAGGCGAUCUACUGGAACAUUAUUGACGCUGAGACGCGAAAGCGUGGGGAGCAAACAGGAUUAGAUA